rnacentral:rRNA from 1 species
UGCAUAUCCCCAAAAGCGGAGGAAAAGAAACCAACAGGGAUUGCCUUAGUAGCGGCGAGUGAAGCGGCAAAAGCUCAAAUUUGAAAUCUGGCGCCUUCGGUGUCCGAGUUGUAAUUUGAAGAUUGUAACCUUGGGGUUGGCUCUUGUCUAUGUUUCUUGGAACAGGACGUCACAGAGGGUGAGAAUCCCGUGCGAUGAGAUGCCCAAUUCUAUGUAAGGUGCUUUCGAAGAGUCGAGUUGUUUGGGAAUGCAGCUCUAAGUGGGUGGUAAAUUCCAUCUAAAGCUAAAUAUUGGCGAGAGACCGAUAGCGAACAAGUACAGUGAUGGAAAGAUGAAAAGAACUUUGAAAAGAGAGUGAAAAAGUACGUGAAAUUGUUGAAAGGGAAGGGUUUGAGAUCAGACUCGAUAUUUUGUGAGCCUUGCCUUCGUGGCGGGGUGACCCGCAGCUUAUCGGGCCAGCAUCGGUUUGGGCGGUAGGAUAAUGGCGUAGGAAUGUGACUUUACUUCGGUGAAGUGUUAUAGCCUGCGUUGAUGCUGCCUGCCUAGACCGAGGACUGCGAUUUUAUCAAGGAUGCUGGCAUAAUGAUCCCAAACCGCCCGUCUUGA